CAGACAAUGGAAUUUCAGGUUAAUGCCGCGGCACCCGAAAGUAGGAUUUGGAGGAGACGAAUGCAUGCAUUUGCUGAAAAUAAAGCUCAACAAAGAGGAAAAGUGAAAGGCAAAGUGGACUCAUGAAGAGAUAAAGCUAUAAACUACAAUGUAAAGAAAGAAAUUACCCACCUUCUGACUGUGCAUUGUGCACUUUAACUAGCCUGAAAAUUGAAGUAUUGUAGGUCUGUUAUUGAUCCCUUCUUGACACAGAGGUUUAAUAUCUAGACAAGGAGGUUGAACGUUGUUAGUGUAAGAAGUUAGAUCGGCCAUCAUUCAACCAACCAUCACAUUAGGAACCAGCACUAAACUGUACUGACCAACUACAACAGAGAAUCCCUAGCUUGA